rnacentral:rRNA from 1 species
CACGAAGUUAGCCGGGGCUUCUUCUCCGGGUACCGUCAUUAUCGUCCCCGGUGAAAGAGCUUUACAAUCCUAAGACCUUCAUCACUCACGCGGCAUGGCUGGAUCAGGCUUGCGCCCAUUGUCCAAUAUUCCCCACUGCUGCCUCCCGUAGUAGUUUGGGCCGUGUCUCAGUCCCAAUGUGGCUGAUCAUCCUCUUAGACCAGCUACCGAUCGUCGCCUUGGUAGGCCUUUACCCCACCAACUAGCUAAUCGGACGCGGGCUCAUCCUGAACCGGUAAACCUUUGUCCCUCAGGACAUAUGCGGUAUUAAUUCCAGUUUCCCGGAGCUAUCCCGCAGAUCAGGGUAGAUUCCCACGCGUUACUCACCCGUCUGCCACUCCCCUUGCGGGGCGUUCGACUUGCAUGUGUUAGGCCUGCCGCCAGCGUUCGUUCUGAGCCAGGAUCAAACUCU